UGUGGAGAUGUCCCUGGCAGUGCUGCAGGUUCUUCAUCAUCCAUCGGUGCGUUCCAAACACGGUAACCCAUUCCACGACACUUUACACUCUAUUUACAUUCACACAGACAUAAAUUAAUUCUUCACUUGCCCACAAACACUUACACACUAGAACACUUCACACUUUCUUCAUUACGCGUCAUUGCAAACUUUUCGUCACAACACUUUACUCUUACGCUGUUAGUUAUUCACUUGCCUACAAGAACACAUCACAACACAUUACACUACACCGGUAAUGCAGCCUGCAUCACUCUUCAAGUGGUGUUGCCGGUCCCAAGCCCGGGAAAAUGCAGAGGGAUUAUUUUCAUUAACAUACAAGACAUUUUCAGCAACUAUACUGUUCGUUGCUAUGCAAGGUAGACAUGCCUCUUUUCAGAGAGUUGGGGCCGCAGGCCCCUUUUCGAGCGCCGAAGGCGCGAGGCUUCGGCCGAAGGCCAAAGAGGGUAAGAAUAGCCCGAGCGGAGCUCGGGCGGCUUACCUGGUGUUUUCAUUAAUAAAGAACGAAUGUCAUAGGUUCGAAGGCGAUCAGAUACCGCCCUAGUUUUAACCAUAAACGAUGCCAGCUAGCGAUCCGCCGAAGUUCCUCCGAUGACUCGGCGGGCAGCUUCCGGGAACCAAAGCUUUUGGGUUCCAGGGGAAGUAUGGUUUCAAAGCUGAAACUUAAAGGAAUUGACGGAAGGGCACCACCAGGAUUGGAGCCUGCUGCUUAAUUUGACUCAACACGGGAAACCUCACCAGGCCCGGACACCGGAAGGAUUGACAGAUUGAGAGCUCUUUCUGGAUUCGGUGGGUGGUGGUGCAUGGCCGUUCAUAGUUGGUGGAGCGAUUUGUCUGGUUAAUUCCGGUAACGAACGAGACUCUGGCCUGCUAACUAGUCGUUUCCGGUAUCCCUUCGUGCUACCGGCGACAAAUGAUCUUCUUAGAGGAACAGGUGGCUUCUAGCCGCACGAGAUUGAGCAAUAACAGGUCUGUGAUGCCCUUAGAUGUUUUGGGCCGCACGCGUGCUACACUGAAGAAAUGAGUGUGUCCUCCUAGCCCGAAAGGGCCGGGUAACCCGUUGAACCUCCUUCAUGCUAGGGAUUGGGGCUUGCAAUUGUUCCCCAUGAAUGAGGAAUUCCCAGUAAGCGCGAGUCAUAAGCUCGCGUUGAUUACGUCCCUGCCCUUUGUACACACUGCCCCUCACUACUACCGAUUGAAUGAUUUAGUGAGGUCUUGGGACUGUUGCGCGACGGCUCGCUUCUCGAGUCGUUGAUGUUGCUGGAAAGACGACCAAACAUGAUCAUUUAGAGCAAGUAAAAUUCGUAACAAGGUUUCCGUAGGUGAACCUGCGGAAG
rnacentral:rRNA from 1 species